AGAACACCCCAGAAAACUGAUCUGGAGACAACACAGAGGAAAGGUAGAUCUCUUUGAACCUCGGGAUGCUGUGCAGUUCUGUUAAAAAUAAAAAUAAAUCCAUAUGCUAUUUCAUUUUUUUAAAUUUAUAUUCUUUUUUUAUCCAUACAUGUACUGUUUAAUUCUCAACCAGCUGUUUUCCAUCAGUGCAUGCCCAGCUGGUGUAUAGGGCUGACAAUGGAGAACUGGCGCUUACUCAGGAGUUCAGAAAAUUUUGGUACAAAGAAGAAUGAACUGACAAGACAGGGGUUCAUGGAGCUCAACUUGAUGGAAGCAAACGACCGGGAAGGGGAUCCUCGAGACCUCUGGAGUCAAUGGGGUACAACAGGGCUCUGGAAAUGGUGGAGGCUUGCCCUUUUGUGGUCAAUAUCUACUGUGAGGAAUGCAAGCCCAAGAUGAAAGCUGUUAGUCUUGAGUCAGGCAGCAAGAUCCUCAGCACAGCCGUGUACAAAUCAGUGAUCAACAAGGGGGAGGCCAAGGUGAUGAAGGGGAACGACAACAUGGUCAUCUACACUUACAUGAGUGAGGCGAGGAUCACAGCAGUCAUUGCA